rnacentral:rRNA from 1 species
ACGGGGCGCAGCAGGCGCGAAACCUCCGCAAUGUGAGAAAUCGCGACGGGGGGAUCCCAAGCGCCAUUCUUAACGGGAUGGCUUUUCUUAAGUGUAAAAAGCUUUUGGAAUAAGAGCUGGGCAAGACCGGUGCCAGCCGCCGCGGUAACACCGGCAGCUCUAGUGGUAGCUGUUUUUAUUGGGCCUAAAGCGUUCGUAGCCGGUUUGAUAAGUCACUGGUGAAAUCCUGUAGCUUAACUGUGGGAAUUGCUGGUGAUACUGUUGAACUUGAGGUCGGGAGAGGUUAGCGGUACUCCCAGGGUAGAGGUGAAAUUCUGUAAUCCUGGGAGGACCACCUGUGGCGAAGGCGGCUAACUGGAACGAACCUGACGGUGAGGGACGAAAGCUAGGGGCGCGAACCGGAUUAGAUACCCGGGUAGUCCUAGCCGUAAACGAUGCGGACUUGGUGUUGGGAUGGCUUUGAGCCGCUCCGGUGCCGAAGGGAAGCUGUUAAGUCCGCCGCCUGGGAAGUACGGUCGCAAGACUGAAACUUAA